AGCUCUGUUGUAAGAGAAGAACGAGUGUGAGAGUGGAAAGUUCACACUGUGACGGUAUCUUACCAGAAAGGGACGGCUAACUACGUGCCAGCAGCCGCGGUAAUACGUAGGUCCCGAGCGUUGUCCGGAUUUAUUGGGCGUAAAGCGAGCGCAGGCGGUUUGAUAAGUCUGAAGUUAAAGGCUGUGGCUCAACCAUAGUUCGCUUUGGAAACUGUCAAACUUGAGUGCAGAAGGGGAGAGUGGAAUUCCAUGUGUAGCGGUGAAAUGCGUAGAUAUAUGGAGGAACACCGGUGGCGAAAGCGGCUCUCUGGUCUGUAACUGACGCUGAGGCUCGAAAGCGUGGGGAGCGAACAGGUGUCGACGCGGCCG
rnacentral:rRNA from 1 species